AGUGAACGCUGGCGGUAGGCCUAACACAUGCAAGUCGAACGGCAGCACAGGAGAGCUUGCUCUCUGGGUAGCGAGUGGCGGACGGGUGAGGAAUACAUCGGAAUCUACCUUUUCGUGGGGGAUAACGUAGGGAAACUUACGCUAAUACCGCAUACGACCUACGGGUGAAAGUGGGGGACCGCAAGGCCUCACGCGAUUAGAUGAGCCGAUGUCCGAUUAGCUAGUUGGCGGGGUAAUGGCCCACCAAGGCGACGAUCGGUAGCUGGUCUGAGAGGAUGAUCAGCCACACUGGAACUGAGACACGGUCCAGACUCCUACGGGAGGCAGCAGUGGGGAAUAUUGGACAAUGGGCGCAAGCCUGAUUCAGCCAUACCGCGUGGGUGAAGAAGGCCUUCGGGUUGUAAAGCCCUUUUGUUGGGAAAGAAAUCCUGUCGAUUAAUACUCGGUGGGGAUGACGGUACCCAAAGAAUAAGCACCGGCUAACUUCGUGCCAGCCGCCGCCGUAAGAC
rnacentral:rRNA from 1 species